CCACCACCAAAGCAUUCUCUGGUGUUGAAGGCCCUGCAAAGCAGCAUCGCGGUGGCGGAGCGUCGUUUGCGACGCCCAACACACAAAACAAGCGGUGAGUGCUUUGGGGUGGGGUGACUGCGUACCUUUUGUAUAAUGGGUCAGCGACUUAUAUUCUGUAGCAAGGUUAACCGAAUAGGGGAGCCGUAGGGAAACCGAGUCUUAACCGGGCGUUAAGUUGCAGGGUAUAGACCCGAAACCCGGUGAUCUAGCCAUGGGCAGGUUGAAGGUUGGGUAACACUAACUGGAGGACCGAACCGACUAAUGUUGAAAAAUUAGCGGAUGACCUGUGGCUGGGGGUGAAAGGCCAAUCAAACCGGGAGAUAGCUGGUUCUCCCCGAAAGCUAUUUAGGUAGCGCCUCGUGAAUUCAUCUCCGGGGGUAGAGCACUGUUUCGGCUAGGGGGCCAUCCCGGCUUACCAACCCGAUGCAAACUGCGAAUACCGGAGAAUGUUAUCACGGGAGACACACGGCGGGUGCUAACGUCCGUCGUGAAGAGGGAAACAACCCAGACCGCCAGCUAAGGUCCCAAAGUCAUGGUUAAGUGGGAAACGAUGUGGGAAGGCCCAGACAGCCAGGAUGUUGGCUUAGAAGCAGCCAUCAUUUAA
rnacentral:rRNA from 1 species